rnacentral:rRNA from 1 species
CCUACGGGGGGCUGCAGUAGGGAAUAUUGCGCAAUGGGCGAAAGCCUGACGCAGCGACGCCGCGUGGGUGAUGAAGGCCUUCGGGUUGUAAAACCCUGUCCUUGGGGAAGAAGGAAGUGACGGUACCCAAGGAGGAAGCCCCGGCUAACUACGUGCCAGCAGCCGCGGUAAAACGUAGGGGGCGAGCGUUACCCGGAAUUACUGGGCGUAAAGGGUGCGUAGGCGGCCUUGCAAGUCCGGUGUUAAAAGCCCUGGCUCAACUAGGGAGAUGCGCUGGAAACUGUAAGGCUUGGGUGCAGCAGAGGCAGAUGGAACUGCUGGUGUAGGGGUGAAAUCCGUAGAUAUCAGCAGGAACGCCGGUGGAGAAGUCGGUCUGCUGGGCUGUGACCGACGCUGAGGCACGAAAGCUAGGGGAGCGAACCGGAUUAGAUACCCGUGU